GGGCUCGUAGCUCAGUUGGUCAGAGCGCGCCCCUGAUAAGGGCGAGGUCGGAAGUUCGAAUCUUCCCGGGCCCA
rnacentral:tRNA from 1 species